AUGCUGCGUGUGUCUGCAUGUGCAAUGCGUGUGGAUUUGUGUGUGCUUGCAUGUAUAGUGUGUGCCUACAUGUUAUGUGCAUGUGUGUGCCUCAUGUGCUUAUGCAUGACUGCAUGUGUGUAUAAUGUGUGGACUCAUGUGUGUGCCUGCAUGUCUGGUGUGUGCGCACCUGUUUAUGUGCAUGUGUGUGCCUCAUGUGCCUUGUGUACAUGUGUAAUCUGUGGAUUUGCGUGUGCUUGCAUGUGUAGUGUGCAUGUGCCUGUGUGUGUGCAUGAGUGUGUACUGUGUGCUGUGUAUGCCUGUGUGUGCGCACGUGUGGUACGGUGUGGGCUGAGGGAAGGGCCGUAUGGGACAGAGGCCGUGACCGCCUGUCUCCAGCAGGGCUCCCGUCUCACCGGGUGGAGCGGAGCCCGGGCCCGGGUCCCAGAGGUGCUGGCUCCGUCCCGGCGCCUGGCGCCCGGCAGACAGCAGCUCCUCCUCAGGGCCUUGUCCUUUGCGGACAGACUCGCCCAGGAGCCAAAAACUCCGCGUGCACAGCUGGUGAGAGCGGAGGAACUUGGGUUUCAUUCUGUUCCCAGAGCAUCAGCCGGGUUCCGGCAAUAUAGGACAGAGCGUUUGCCGUGGAAUGGGGCCCACCAGAGCCCGGUCUCCUACACGUGUGCUAUGACUAAAGCGAUCUUCGUCCCCAAACUGGGAACUCAUGGUGGUCCCCGAGCUGACUGUCCCAGCCUGGCACGGAGGCUGUGGUCCCAAAGGGGCAGGGGGCCCCAGGGGUCCCUGACUUGCAGGCCCCUCCCUCCGCUGUGGAGCCCCCGGGCCUCUGCAGGGGGCCUGCUGUGCGGCAGACCACACGGCGGACGCUGCAUCUCCAGCCUCUGCGUGGUGCCGGGGAAAACAGGUGAGACCAGUGCACCUGCCAGCCUCGAGCAGGCUCCAUCCUGCCAGCCCCCGUGCUGGGCCCGGGUGGCCUCGGCUUCCACACCCCGAAUCACCUGGAUCAGGCCGCCCUCACUGGGAGCCGGGGCCCCGUGGCUGAGAAUGCACCCCACUACCUGGGAGGACGAGGCUUGGCUGCCCACAGAAUGCUCGGGGACCAGCCAAGGGCGCGCCCGCGGGCGUGCUGGGCGGAGUCUCGCAGGGAGGGGGCAGGGGGUCUGGGCGGGUCUUUGGGCGGCGGUCUCCGUGGUAUCUAUUAGGUUUUCAGAGAAGCGUGGUCGUGGAGCUUUUCUCAGGCUCUGA
rnacentral:lncRNA from 1 species